rnacentral:rRNA from 1 species
AGUUUGAUCCUGGCUCAAAACGAACGCUGGCGGCAUGCCUAACACAUGCAAGUCGAACGAUGCUUUCGGGCAUAGUGGCGCACGGGUGCGUAACGCGUGGGAAUCUGCCCCUGGGUACGGAAUAACAGUUAGAAAUGACUGCUAAUACCGUAUGAUGUCUUCGGACCAAAGAUUUAUCGCCCAGGGAUGAGCCCGCGUAGGAUUAGCUAGUUGGUGGGGUAAUGGCCUACCAAGGCGACGAUCCUUAGCUGGUCUGAGAGGAUGAUCAGCCACACUGGGACUGAGACACGGCCCANACUCCUACGGGAGGCAGCAGUGGGGAAUAUUGGACAAUGGGCGAAAGCCUGAUCCAGCAAUGCCGCGUGAGUGAUGAAGGCCUUAGGGUUGUAAAGCUCUUUUACCCGGGAAGAUAAUGACUGUACCGGGAGAAUAAGCCCCGGCUAACUCCGUGCCAGCAGCCGCGGUAAUACGGAGGGGGCUAGCGUUGUUCGGAAUUACUGGGCGUAAAGCGCACGUAGGCUGCUUUGUAAGUCAGAGGUGAAAGCCCGGGGCUCAACCCCGGAUGUGCCUUUGAGACUGCAGGGCUAGAACGUGCGAGAGGUGAGUGGAAUUCCGAGUGUAGAGGUGAAAUUCGUAGAUAUUCGGAAGAACACCAGUGGCGA